AUGGGUUUUCACUCUAAUAUCUUGAUAUUUUCGGGUUUGCGUGACUGUGCGCUGCGCUCGUUAUUAAUAAUAAUAAUAAUAAUAAUAACAGUAAUACUGAAAGGAUGUGAAGUGUUUAUACUGACGGAGCCCAUCUCAGGGCCUGGCCAGUCGGAGCUGCGCAUGCGCACCGGAGCAGCGCUAAUGGCGGAGAGCGUGCGGUCGCCGUUCGAUUACCGGGAGCCCCCGACCCUCGACAGCGACGGGGAUGGAGGAAAGCCGCCGCGCGGGCGAGUGUGUGGCAGGAAGAGGAAGGGGACGCCGGUGAAGGUGUGUGAAAGAGCGGCGUAUGUGACGGAGGACGAGGAGGAGAGUCUGUCUGAACACAGUUACAGCCCAGGGGAUGAUCAGUACACCGAGGGAGCCGGAGACAGUGUUCCUCCGCCGGGCGGCCCGUACUACCUCACCGACCCGUCACAGCUCUGUGUGCCUGAGCUGGCUGAAGAGGGCGCUAGCGGCGUCCGCGGCCCUGUGCUGUUCCACCCCCCGCCCAACUGCAGGAUUAGAGAGGUGCAUUCUGGGAGUCAGGUCCGGCUCGUCGUCAUAGCCAUUCGAGACAUUGCCAAAGGCGAGGAGAUCACCGUGGACUACAGCCUGAGCGACUGGGGAGAGAAUGCCAUGGAGGAGGAGCCGGGGUCACUGCCUCUGUCUCUCACUGUUUCUGACUACCUCACUCCGUCCUGGUCUCUGUCUCCCUCCUCCUCUCCGCUGUCUCACUCCGAGGCCAGCGACUCCGACCGAGAGGAGGAGGAGGAGGAGGAAGACGACGAUGACGACGACGACGAGGAGGACCUGGAGGAUCUGCGGGGACGCAUGAUGAGACGCCGCAAGAAACGCAAAACCUCGGCGACCAUCAAGAAGAAAGCCCAGCCCCGCCCCCUGUCCUUCACAUGCCCCGCCCCUUCCUCACCGCCGUCCUUCCAGCAGCCUCUAGCCCCGCCCACCACCAACAUAAACAACAAUAUAAACAUAAACAUCGGCGCGAGCGGCACGCUCUCCCGCAGACAGCACUGUCCCUACUGCGGCCGUCACUUCCGCUCCCUCGCUAGGCACCUGGAGAAACACCACGAGCAGCACCCCGAGGUCCGAGCCGCCAUGGAGCUGUCGCACCCCCCCGCCUCCUCGCACCCCUUCACCUCUCCCGCUCAGCCCUCGUCCUCCCUGGGAACCUCCCUGUUUUCCCGAGAGCGAGACUCUUCGUCUUCAGCUCCGAAAUCCGGAGGCGUCUCCUUCUCGCUCUCGCUGUCUCCGCCUCCUGCCUCCAGUACCUCAAAAAAGAGCUCAACAACAUCGCCGAAGAAGCCCACGGCUAACAAGAGCCCCUGGUUGUGCUCCUGCAACUUUCGGCACUCAUAUUAA
ensembl:lncRNA